UACCUGCAGCUCGAGUGGUAACCGCUAUUAUUGGGCCUAAAGCGUCCGUAGCCGGUUUGGUAAAUAUCUGGGUAAAUCGUGAGGCUUAACUUCACGAAUUUCGGAUAGACUGCCAGACUUGGGAUCGGGGGAGGUCAGAGGUACUCCAGGGGUAGCGGUGAAAUGUUGUAAUCCUUGGAGGACCACCGGUAGCGAAGGCGUCUGACUAGAACGAGUCCGACGGUGAGGGACGAAGCCCUGGGGCGCAAACCGGAUUAGAUACCCGGGUAGUCCAGGGUGUAAACUAUGUGGGCUUUGUAUUGGUGGUCCCACGUGGGCGUCCAGUGCAGAAGAGAAGUUGUUAAGCCCACCGCCUGGGAAGUACGGUCGCAAGGCUGAAACUUAAAGGAAUUGGCGGGGGAGCACAGCAACGGGAGGAGCGUGCGGUUU
rnacentral:rRNA from 1 species